UACGUAGGCGGUUUGUUUAGUCAGAUGUGAAAGCCCCGGGCUUAACCUGGGAACUGCAUUUGAAACUGGCAAGCUAGAAUAUGGUAGAGGGGGGUAGAAUUUCUAGUGUAGCGGUGAAAUGCGUAGAUAUUAGAAGGAAUACCAGUGGCGAAGGCGGCCCCCUGGACCAAUAUUGACGCUGAGGUACGAAAGCGUGGGUAGCGAACAGGAUUAGAUACCCUGGUAGUC
rnacentral:rRNA from 1 species